GAAUCGCCACACAACGGCACUGCAACGCCUCCGUCAUUCACCGCUUGCAUCGGCAAGUUGUCUCCUGGCCACCCCCGUGGUUUGUCGCACAAUGUCGUCGAGAAACGUCAAGACGUCGUCGUUGUCGGUGUCAGUGGUGGUGGUGUUGUGCUGGUGUCAGUGAGUGUAGUGCGAGGCCAAGUGGUGCAAUGCGUUAGUACUGACGGAUGUAGCUGUAUACUGGAUGAUGGUCGUGUUAUUGAUGUUUCCAGUCUCGCCAAGACUGAUGGAACUCCAUAUUUUGUUGAUGUUUUGGCCGAGGAUACCUACAAGUAUUCCUAUAAUCCCUGCACGCCAUUCACCGAAGGUUCUUGCCAAAAUGCCGCGGUGUGUCAAGAGAGUGCAGAUAACCUGGCGCAGUACAUGGUGGGUGCAGCCAGUUCAGCUGUCUUUUCCUACGAUGGACAAAACGCAAAAUCUACUACACGAGUUACACUGAUGUGUUCAGACAAGCCUGGGUGACCUUUAUUUGUGAUCCAUCAGCAACUACACCCUCAAUGCGCGCUAUCGGAGAACAGGAGUCGACAGUAUAUUAUCUUGAAGUCACGACUGCCUGUGGGUGCCCUGAUGGCUGCACUUCUUCUGGACCAAUCAACAUUACCAUUGAAGUCGGCUUGAGCGGUGGUAGCAUCCUUCUUAUUGUGUUUUUUGUUCUGCUGUUUGUAUACCUGGUGGGUGGAAUCAUCUUUAACAGAACGCGGCGAGAAGCACAAGGCUUGGAUAUGGUCCCUAACAUCACAUUCUGGAAAGCUUUGCCGGGGCUUGUCAAAGAUGGGUUCGUCUUUGUCUUUUGCAGAUUCGGUGGAAAAAGAUCGUCAUAUGAAAAUGUCUGAAAGAUGUUUCUGAAUAAUCUUUAAAACGAAUUUAUUGACACAGCUGCACAUUCAACAUAGAAGAUUAAUAGUUUAAAUGCGCCUUUGGCUUUGUAAACUUGACCAGGUUUUAGUUAUGUACUUAUUUAUUUGUAUGUGUGUGUGUGGCAUGUGUGCUUUCUGGUUGCGGUAUUUGCAUCAGUAGCAUAUAUUUUGGUUUACCAUUUGAGUGCCAGAAGAGUUUAUGCAACAAAGUUAAAUUUCAGGCCCAACGUGGUGUACAUAGAUUGAGGCUAUUGUAUGCUCAUUUAUGUUUAUAUAUAAAUACAUGAAUAAAAGUUCGCACCAAG